UUGGGGCUUAUAGUUUCAGAGGGUGAGUCCAUGACCAGCAUGGCAGGGAGCAUUGGCAGCAGGCAGGCAGGGUGGCGCUAGGGUAGUGUGAGAGCUCAGAUCUCUAUCUACAAGCACCAGACAGACUGCUAACUGGAAUGGUGUGGGCUUUUGAAACCUCAAAGCCUGCCCCCAAUGAAAUGCCACCUCCAGGAAGGCCACCCUUCCUAAUUCUUCCUGAACACUUCUACCAGCUGGGGACCAAGUGUUCAAACAUAUGAGCCUAUGGGGACCCUUCUCAAUGAAAUCACAAUUGUCCGUUUGAGGUGGACUCAUGUAGCCUAUGCUAGCCUCAAAACUGUUAUGUAUCCAUGGAUGACCUUGAACUCUUGAUCUCGGAUCCUCCUGCCUCCUGCUAGAACCAGAGGCCUGAGCAACAGUCCUGGCUUGCCAAAAUUUUUAAGGGUCACACCAAGCAAAAAUAUGCAUUAGUGUAAGAGAAUUCCAGGAGCUGUCCCAGAAGGGCACAGGCACCCAGGGCAUACAUAGGGAGCCCAUGGUUGGGUGCAAGAGGUGGGUCUGGCGGAAGCUUCUUUUGGGGCCCACAGCAUCUUCUGUAUGUGUUAGUUUCCCAUGACAACACUGGACUACAUAAUUUGAAGGGAGCCCAAAGCAAAGGUGGGGGACUCAAGGGUCUGGUUCACCAGGCUUCAAAACACAGCCAGGUUGUCAAGUGGUUCACAGUACGGACUUCAUCUUACUAAAGCAGGAUCAGGUAGAGAGAACCAUGGAGGUCAGUAUGAUAAACCCGGACAGGGAAACAAACUAGAAGCUAAGGGCUGGGACAGAGCUGAAUAGUAGACCAUUUGACUAGCAUGGAUGGGCUUCCUACCACCACACACACACACACACACAACACACACACACACACACACACAGGAGGGCACUGUAAAGAUGAUGUUGAUAAUAAGAAUAGAGACAGUUCCUGAUCAUUACGUCAGGGGCAGGCUUCUUUUUUCUUUUUGUAAAGACAGGCUCUCACUGUGCAGCCUAGCUAAGCAGAACGCACUAUGUAGACAAGGCUGACCUUGUCUCUGCCUCCCGAGUGCUGGGAUUAAAGGCCUGUACCGUUAUGCCAGGCUGUGGUCAGGUUUGUUAUUAGUGGAAUGAACUACAAACCCAGGCACAAUGGUGAACACCUUUAAUCCCAGCACUGGGAGGCAAAGACAGACACAUCUUUGUGAACUGGAGGUUAACCUGUUCCUAAUUCCAGGACAGCCAGAGCAACAUACUGAGACCCUGCCUUAAGUAAAAGAAGGAAAGAAAGAAGAAAAAAAAUGAACUUGUUCUGCAUAAGUAGUUGUAAGCUAAACCGGCCCAUCUCUGAGCCACAAUGAAGUCAUGUUUCCUCAAAUGCACAUCACCACCGCUGCUACUGCCCUGGUUUCUGGUCCAAUCCAUCACAUUAUGCCCAGAUUUCUGCAGGCACCUCCUCCUCGUCUUUGCCUGCCUACAGCUCCCGAGUUCUUCUAAUAGAGUAGUUCUCAGUUUGGGCUGUACAAUAAAGGCUAGAAUUCUCAGAG